AUCUAAAUUGCAUUUGUCUUUAAAGUAGUUAAACUACAUAAAAGAAUCACAAAAAUGUUUGUCAUUUGUAAAUAUAGUUUAAAAUACAGGAUUAAACCAACAUUAUUCAGUUAAAUUCAUCUUGCUUUUUUUGUUUUAUCUAUAGAAGAUUGCAAAAAAAAAUGUUUUGCACAUACGUGUUCCCUUAAGUUUUAAAAAGGCACCUAGUUUGAGUAUCAAAUAUUCUCCUUCAUUUCUGUAUGUAUCUUACCUCCCACUGCCCCCUCCCACACACAAACACUGAAGGAAUUGCAUAGAAUACUAGGCUGUCUCAUUGAACAGGGCAACAGUCUGUCUUUUCCUGAUAACAGGGUAGUUAUUAUUCUUGACUCAGUCAACCCCAGAGGGAGAGCGUUAGUGACCUGGAGUGGGGUUUGCUAAAUCUAAGGCUACUCAAGGAGAACGUUUGCUGCUGUGCUGGACAUUGCAGUUCUCCAGAGCAGGCUGUUAGCAUCCUGCCUUGCUCUGAGUAGGUGCAGAAGACUCAGUGGAGUGAGAUCAUGUAUCAGCCUCUAUGAGCAAAUCCUCCCUUCCGCCCCUAACUUUCCCAUGGCACAAAGGAACCAGUGUCUGGAGGCUAGGUUGCAAUGAUUAUCCAAAGGGCAAUCUCUGCAGGCACCCAAGAGUGAAAGGUGCUGCCAGUUUCUGUUGGAUUUGUUAUUCCCAUAGAGUCGCACAGGAAAUAACACCACAAAAAAAAAAAAAGAA
rnacentral:lncRNA from 1 species